UGGUCCCACCUGACCCCAUGCCGAACUCAGAAGUGAAACGCCGUAGCGCCGAUGGUAGUGUGGGGUCUCCCCAUGCGAGAGUAGGGAACUGCCAGGCA
rnacentral:rRNA from 16 species